UACGGAGGGGGCUAGCGUUGUUCGGAAUUACUGGGCGUAAAGCGCGCGUAGGCGGACCUGCAAGUCGGGGGUGAAAGCCCGAGGCUCAACCUCGGAACUCGCCUUCGAUACUGCGGGUCUCGAGUCCGGGAGAGGUGAGUGGAAUUCCUAGUGUAGAGGUGAAAUUCGUAGAUAUUAGGAAGAACACCAGUGGCGAAGGCGGCUCCAGCUG
rnacentral:rRNA from 1 species